rnacentral:rRNA from 1 species
UACAGAGGGGGCAAGCGUUGUUCGGAAUUACUGGCGUAAAGGGCGCGUAGGCGCCCGCUAAGUCGAACGUGAAAUCCCCGAGCUCAACUCGGGAACUGCGUCCGAUACUGGCGGGCUUGAAUCCGGGAGAGGGAUGCGGAAUUCCAGGUGUGAGCGGGUGAAAUGCGUAGAUAUCUGGAGGAACACCGGUGGCGAAGGCGGCAUCCUGGACCGGCAUUGACGCUGAGCGCGAAAGCUAGGGGAGCAAACGGG